GACUGCCAUAUUACAGACCUGCUGGCCAGCAUUGUCUUGCUCAUUCGGGUCGACCAAAUACUGAGAGCAGUCAUCGAUGCCCUCAGGGUUCUCAUCGCCUUCGCGAUCAUCGUGAUAAACUUCUUCAGUGGGACCGCAGAUCAGGUUCAUCAUUUCCUCUUCGUGUUCUCUCGGAUCGGCCAUUUCUGCAAAAAUAUGUCAUUUCCUCUUCGUGUUCUCUCGGAUCGGCCAUUUCUGCAAAAAUAUGUGACACAUGACUACUAGCACUACUGUGUAUACCUGACAAGGAAACAAUAUAUAAAACUAGGGUUUAGGGUUUAAGGGUUAGGGCUUAGGGCUUAGGUUUAGGGUUUAGAGUAUAUCAUUUGCUAACAAUUAAAUAUAUCAUAAUUGUACCACUAAUUUAUACCACUAAUUGUACCACUAAUUAUAGCACUAAUUGUACCACUAAUAGUAAGUGAACAUCUAGAUACAUCAUAGAACAUCACUAAAUAAAUUAUAGAACAUCACAUCGCAUAUAUAUUGUAUACUUUGUGAACAUCGCUAAAAUAUGUUAUAGAACAUCAAAUAUAUAUUAUGUGAAAAAAACCUAAAUACACCAUAGACUAUCACUAAUUACAUUAAAGAACAUCGUAUAUAUAUUACGUGAAAAUAAAUAAGAAAUUGGUACUAUAAUAUACAUGAAAAUAAAUAAAUAUAUAUGAAUUUGAGCAGAGACAAUAUUCUAGAUUUAUAAGAAAUUGGUACUAUAAUAUACAUGAAAAUAAUGUAAUACAAAUAAUAACUAGAGCAAAGCAUAAGAAAAAAAAUAAAAACAUGUAACAAAGAUAAAAAUUUAAAGAACAUCGUAUAUAUAUUACGUGAACAUCACUAUAGUUAUUUCUUUGUUUAUUCAUAUUUUUUCAUUUUUUUUCAUUUUCAUUUCUCAGGCCUUGUUUAGUUCGCAAAAAUUGCAGUUUUUGGCUACUGUAGCACUUUCAUUUUUAUUUGAUAAACAUUGUCCAAUUAUGAAAUAAUUAGACUCAAAAGAUUCAUCUUACAAAUUACAGGUAAACAGUGCAAAUAGUUUUUAUUUUCGUCUAUUUGCAAAAUAGGAAUAGUACUACUUUCGUUUGUAUUUGAUAAAUAUUAUCCAAUCAUGUACUUAUUAGACUCAAAAGAUUCGUCUCAUCAAUUCCGACCAAAUUGUGCAAUUAGUUUUUAUUUUCGUCUAUAUUUAAUACUUCAUGCAUGCGUCUAAAGAUUUAAUAUGACGGAGAAUCUGAAAAAUUUUGCAAAAUUUUUUAGAACUAAACAAGGCCUAUCCCACGAGGGCUCGGGCGCACGGGGCCGGGGCUCGGGCUGC
rnacentral:lncRNA from 1 species